rnacentral:rRNA from 1 species
AGAGUUUGGUUCUGGCUCAGGAUGAACGCUGGCGGCGUGCUUAACACAUGCAAGUCGAGCGGAGAUGAAAUGAGGGAGCUUCGGCAUCCUGAUAUUAUCUUAGCGGCGGACGGGUGAGUAACGUGUGGGUAACCUGCCUUAUACUGUGGAAUAAUCAUGAGAAAUCGUGACUAAUACCGCAUGUCAUCCUUUUAUCGCAUGAUGAGAGGAGAAAAGGAUUUAUUCGGUAUGAGAUGGACCCGCAUCUGAUUAGCUAGUUGGUGAGAUAAUAGCUCACCAAGGCAACGAUCAGUAGCCGACCUGAGAGGGUGAUCGGCCACAUUGGGACUGAGACACGGCCCAAACUCCUACGGGAGGCAGCAGUGGGGAAUAUUGCACAAUGGGCGAAAGCCUGAUGCAGCAACGCCGCGUGAAGGAAGAAGGGUUUCGGCUCGUAAACUUCUAUCAAUAGGGAAGAAAGAAAUGACGGUACCUAAAUAAGAAGCCCCGGCUAACUACGUGCCAGCAGCCGCGGUAAUACGUAGGGGGCAAGCGUUAUCCGGAAUUACUGGGUGUAAAGGGAGAGUAGGCGGCAUGAUAAGUUAGAUGUGAAAGCCCGGGGCUUAACCUCGGGAUUGCAUUUAAAACUAUUGAGCUAGAGUACAGGAGAGGAAAGCGGAAUUCCUAGUGUAGCGGUGAAAUGCGUAGAUAUUAGGAAGAACACCAGUGGCGAAGGCGGCUUUCUGGACUGAAACUGACGCUGAGGCUCGAAAGCGUGGGGAGCGAACAGGAUUAGAUACCCUGGUAGUCCACGCCGUAAACGAUGAGUGCUAGGUGUCGGGGGGGAACCCUCGGUGCCGCAGCAAACGCAAUAAGCACUCCCACGUGGGGAGU